rnacentral:tRNA from 1 species
AAUAGUUUUGGAAAGCUGCUAACUUUCUUUUAGCUGGUAGCUACUAUUA